GACGAACGCUGGCGGCGUGCUUAACACAUGCAAGUCGAACGGAAAGGCCCUGCUUUUGUGGGGUGCUCGAGUGGCGAACGGGUGAGUAACACGUGAGUAACCUGCCCUUGACUUUGGGAUAACUUCAGGAAACUGGGGCUAAUACCGGAUAGGAGCUCCUGCUGCAUGGUGGGGGUUGGAAAGUUUCGGCGGUUGGGGAUGGACUCGCGGCUUAUCAGCUUGUUGGUGGGGUAGUGGCUUACCAAGGCUUUGACGGGUAGCCGGCCUGAGAGGGUGACCGGCCACAUUGGGACUGAGAUACGGCCCAGACUCCUACGGGGGGCAGCAGUGGGAAUAUUGCACAAUGGGCGGAAGCCUGAUGCAGUAACGCCGCGUGCGGGAUGACGGCCUUCGGGUUGUAAACCGCUUUCGCCUGUGACGAAGCGUGAGUGACGGUAAUGGGUAAAGAAGCACCGGCUAACUACGUGCCAGCAGCCGCGGCGAUACGUAGGGUGCGAGCGUUGUCCGGAUUUAUUGGGCGUAAAGGGCUCGUAGGUGGUUGAUCGCGUCGGAAGUGUAAUCUUGGGGCUUAACCCUGAGCGUGCUUUCGAUACGGGUUGACUUGAGGAAGGUAGGGGAGAAUGGAAUUCCUGGUGGAGCGGUGGAAUGCGCAGAUAUCAGGAGGAACACCAGUGGCGAAGGCGGUUCUCUGGGCCUUUCCUGACGCUGAGGAGCGAAAGCGUGGGGAGCGAACAGGCUUAGAUACCCUGGUAGUCCACGCUGUAAACGGUGGGUACUAAGUGUGGGGUCCAUUCCACGGGUUCCGUGCCGUAGCUAACGCUUUAAGUACCCCGCCUGGGGAGUACGGCCGCAAGGCUAAAACUCAAAGGAAUUGACGGGGCCCCGCACAAGCGGCGGAGCAUGCGGAUUAAUUCGAUGCAACGCGUAGAACCUUACCUGGGUUUGACAUGGAUCGGGAGUGCUCAGAGAUGGGUGUGCCUCUUUUGGGGUCGGUUCACAGGUGGUGCAUGGCUGUCGUCAGCUCGUGUCGUGAGAUGUUGGGUUAAGUCCCGCAACGAGCGCAACCCUUGUUCACUGUUGCCAGCACGUUAUGGUGGGGACUCAGUGGAGACCGCCGGGGUCAACUCGGAGGAAGGUGGGGAUGACGUCAAGUCAUCAUGCCCCUUAUGUCCAGGGCUUCACGCAUGCUACAAUGGCUGGUACAGGGAGUGGCGAGCCUGUGAGGGUGAGCGAAUCUCGGAAAGCCGGUCUCAGUUCGGAUUGGGGUCUGCAACUCGACCUCAUGAAGUCGGAGUCGCUAGUAAUCGCAGAUCAGCAACGCUGCGGUGAAUACGUUCCCGGGGCUUGUACACACCGCCCGUCAAGUCAUGAAAGUUGGUAACACCCGAAGCCGGUGGCCUAACCGUUGUGGGGGAGCCGUCGAAGGUGGGACUGGUGAUUAGGACUAAGUCGUAACAAGGUAGCCGUACCGGA
rnacentral:rRNA from 1 species